UCUCCGUAGGUGAACCUGCGGAGGGAUCAUUACAGAGUUCUCGCCCUCGCGGGUAGAUCUCCCACCCACUGUUAUCGUUACUGUGUUGCUUUGGCGGGCCGCCGGGCCCCGCUCGGCCGCCGGCUCCGGCUGGCGCGCACCCGCCAGAGGCCCAGCAAACUCUGAAUGUUAGUGUCGUCUGAGUACUAUAUAAUAGUUAAAACUUUCAACAACGGAUCUCUUGGUUCUG
rnacentral:misc_RNA from 1 species